CUCCGCCCCUCGGAUCCCACGGGGUCCCUUGCGGCCCUCCCACUCCUCGCACCGUUGGAUCGCUUUGCUCACGGCGCUCUCUCUCGAUAAAGUUGUUGUUGCGGCUUCCGCCGCGAGUGGAGGAAGAUGGCGUCGGGUGGUGGUGGUUGUAGCGCUUCGGAGAGACUCCCUCCGCCCUUCCCCGGCCCGGAGCCGGAGUCCGAGGGGGCGGCCGGGGGAUCAGAACCCGAGGCUGGGGACAGCGACACCGAGGGGGAGGACAUUUUCACCGGCGCCGCGAUGGUUAGUAAGCACCAGUCUUCAAAGAGAGCUACAUCCCUUUUUCCUAUCAACAAUGGCUCCAAAGAAAAUGGGAUCCAUGAAGAACAAGACCAAGAGCCACAGGAUCUCUUUGCAGAUGCCACAGUGGAACUAUCCUUGGACAGCACACAAAAUAAUCAGAAGAAGGUGCCGGCCAAAACACUCGUUUCUCUUCCUCCACAGGAAGCCGCAAAUUCUUCGAAGCCCCAGCCAACCUAUGAGGAGCUAGAGGAAGAAGAACAGGAGGACCAAUUUGAUUUGACAGUUGGUAUAACUGAUCCUGAGAAGAUAGGGGAUGGUAUGAAUGCAUAUGUAGCCUACAAAGUUACAACACAGACAAGCUUACCAUUAUUCAGAAGCAAACAGUUUGCGGUAAAAAGAAGAUUUAGUGACUUCCUUGGUCUUUAUGAGAAGCUUUCAGAGAAGCACUCCCAGAAUGGCUUCAUUGUCCCUCCUCCACCGGAGAAGAGCCUCAUAGGAAUGACAAAAGUGAAAGUUGGGAAGGAAGAUUCGUCUUCUGCAGAAUUUCUUGAAAAACGGAGGGCCGCUUUAGAAAGGUACCUUCAGAGGAUUGUGAAUCAUCCUACCAUGUUACAGGACCCUGAUGUCAGAGAGUUCUUAGAAAAAGAAGAGCUGCCACGUGCCGUGGGUACCCAGACGCUGAGUGGUGCUGGUCUCCUCAAGAUGUUCAAUAAAGCCACAGAUGCUGUCAGCAAAAUGACCAUCAAGAUGAAUGAAUCAGAUAUUUGGUUUGAGGAGAAGCUCCAGGAGGUAGAGUGUGAGGAACAGCGCUUACGGAAACUGCAUGCUGUUGUAGAAACUCUAGUCAACCAUAGGAAAGAGCUAGCGCUGAACACAGCCCAGUUUGCAAAGAGUCUAGCCAUGCUUGGGAGCUCCGAGGACAACACGGCAUUGUCACGGGCACUCUCCCAGCUGGCUGAGGUGGAAGAAAAAAUUGAGCAGCUCCACCAGGAACAGGCCAACAAUGACUUCUUCCUCCUUGCCGAGCUCCUGAGUGACUACAUUCGCCUCCUGGCCAUAGUCCGAGCUGCCUUUGACCAGCGCAUGAAGACAUGGCAGCGCUGGCAGGAUGCCCAAGCCACACUGCAGAAGAAGCGGGAGGCUGAGGCUCGACUGCUGUGGGCCAACAAGCCUGAUAAGCUGCAGCAGGCCAAGGAUGAGAUCCUUGAGUGGGAGUCUCGGGUGACUCAGUAUGAAAGGGACUUUGAGAGGAUUUCAACAGUGGUCCGAAAAGAAGUGAUACGAUUUGAGAAAGAGAAAUCCAAGGACUUCAAGAACCACGUGAUCAAGUACCUUGAGACACUCCUUUACUCACAGCAGCAGGAGCUGCAGGUCUACUACCAGAUGUUUGACAAGUCAGCUGCAUGGAAUCUCUUUGCACAACUGGUGAUGAAAAUCCACUGAUCUGAGGCUUCCUGGAACACCUGAAAAUUAAGUAAAUGGAUAAAGUGGACAACAAUCUGCCAAGAAAGAAGUGAGAGGAGAGACAGCCUGUAGCCGCUUAGGGUUAGAAGAUACAAGUGGAUGGAUGGAUGAAGACAAUGAAUGAAUGGAGGGGCCUGUGGAUGCUGGGGAAGCGGACAUCAUAGCUGGAUUGGGUCCACGCCUUGCUCAGGUGUGGUCUCAGCCAGGGACUCCAGUUUGCAGUCCCAGGGACCAGGCUGAAAGGAGGGAAAGGCUGGGGAAGGGACUGAGGAACGCAAGGCAGGUAGGUCCCUGGUUGGCCCGAGGACCCGCACUGAGGCCCGGGCCCCGCUUCCGUCCACGCCUGGAGCCACAGGCCGUUCUUAGCCCUUAGUAGACGCUUAACUCAGGAUGGGUGACAUUUUCGCUCACCGGUUCCUGGCAUCAGUGACCGCUCAGCAAAUGUUUGACAAAUGGGUAACUCCCUUGCCCCAGGCUGCGUCCGGGUCCCGCCUAAUCUUCUGGGCUCAGGACCCG